rnacentral:lncRNA from 1 species
AUUGAACCCAGGCCUUGUGCAUGCAAGGCAAGCACUUUACCAACUGAGCUAUAUCCCCAGCCCAAGCAUUAUCUCUUAAACUAAAAUAAUGGUUGCCAAGUUCUGAGUUCCCACUUUAGAAACUUAAGCUAAUAUGGUAUUUUGAAUAGGGAGAUCCCAAGCUAUGUAGAUGAUAUGGGACCUAUUCCAGCACAUCUGAAGCCACCCCACAGAAGAGGCCACCUUCUUUCCAUGACCCUGGACCUUUUAUAGCCCACACUCAGACUCCAGAGAGGUGACUCUAACCCCCAGCACAGUAGAUGAGCAUGGUACACCGUUGCUGGCUUUGGUGGGGCAGGUGUGGGCCACAUGGGUCUAGUUGGGCCUGGAGGUCAGAGCCCCUCCAGGCCAAUCCAUAGCAAUGCUUAAUGCUCCCUGAAAUCCAAGCCUGAGUUCACCAAGCACUUCCACAUCAAUGAUCCCAAUCCUCAAGCCCACGAGGGGGAUAUGAGCUCUAUUUUGUCAACAAGACGUGGGCAGUAACUGGUGCAGGGAGGCAGUGGCAGGGCUGGGGCCAGAAGCCAGGUUUCCUGCCUAGAGACAGCCCAGAACCCACUUCACAGGCAAGAGAAUUAAGGCUGGGGAGGGAGAAACCAAAGCCAUCCCAGUGCUUGUGUUCUCUGUGUGCUGGUGAGUGCAGGAAGUGACUGUUCUGAUGACAGCUCUUUCACUCCCAGUAAGCUGGGACAAACAUUGUUGUGGUUCAGUUUUCCUGUCUCUAUAAUGUGACAUACCACAUUCCAGAAAAUAGCCCUUCUAAAGAUUGUGUGUCAUGAAAAGUCAUCAGAGCUGAGAACUCAGAGGCCACACAGCCCUGCACCAAGGUGGAGCAGCAAGGCCCUGAAUCCUCAGGGACCUGCCCAUGAAGCCAAGUGUCCAGCUUCUUGGUAUCCACAAGAAGGCCUAGCAGGGGGCUGGGGAUGUGACUCAGUGGUAGAGUGCUUGCUGGGCGCAUGAGGCCCUGGGUCCCAUCCCCAGCACUACAAAAAAUAAUAAUAAUAAGAAGAAGAAGUAAAAAUAAAAAUGCCAGCAGGAAACUCCUCCCAAACACUCUCCAGGGUGAAAAUGGAGGAUAAUAAAUCUUUAUUAUGUCAGCUU